rnacentral:rRNA from 1 species
GACGAACGCUGGCGGCGUGCUUAACACAUGCCAGUCGAACGUGAUUUUUGUGGAAAUUCUUUCGGGAAUGGAAAUGAAAUGAAAGUGGCGAACGGGUGAGUAACACGUGAGCAACCUACCUUUCACAGGGGGAUAGCCGUUGGAAACGACGAUUAAUACCGCAUGAGACCACAGAAUCGCAUGAUAUAGGGGUCAAAGAUUUAUCGGUGUAAGAAGGGCUCGCGUCUGAUUAGCUAGUUGGAAGGGUAAAGGCCUACCAAGGCGACGAUCAGUAGCCGGUCUGAGAGGAUGAACGGCCACAUUGGAACUGAGACACGGUCCAAACUCCUACGGGAGGCAGCAGUGGGGAAUAUUGCACAAUGGGGGGAACCCUGAUGCAGCGACGCCGCGUGAGCGAAGAAGGUUUUCGAAUCGUAAAGCUCUGUCCUAUGAGAAGAUAAUGACGGUAUCAUAGGAGGAAGCCCCGGCUAAAUACGUG